GCUGGGUGUGGUGGCGGGCACCUGUAAUCCCAGCUACUUGGGAGGCUGAGGUGGGAGAAUCACUUGAACCCGGGAGGCAGAGGUUGCAGUGAGCAGAGAUCGUGCCACUGCACUCUAGCCUGGGUGACAGAGUGAGACUUCACCUCAA
rfam:Homo sapiens chromosome 3, GRCh38 reference primary assembly.